GCCCGCUCCAAUAUGGCGGCGACGUUGACGUGCGGUCGAGUGGCCAAUGAGGCGUCUAGAUUUCUGAUAGAAGCUCUCAGAGACCUGGACUCCAGUCUGAAGAAACUCAACUCCAGGUAAGGUUGGAAAAAAGGUUAAGGUUUGGGUCAAAUGUUUUUCCUUCAUGCAACGCAGAGGUCCUUCCAAAGCUCUUUGAGAAAUGGAAGAUCACCCGGUUGACUUUCGAGGUUGUUACAGAGCCAUAUAGUCAGAGUAUAGACAAUGAUGUCAUGAAGUUGGCAGAGGAAUAUGGAGUGUAAGUUAUUCCAAAGAUUUCUCACACUCUCUACAACAUUGACAGGUAAUUGCUAUUAUUUGUAAAUCAAAUUUUAUAUUUUAAAAGAAGAAUUAUUGACGAGAACAACUGCAAGCCUCCCAUGACUUACGUUCACUUCUGUGGAGAAGGCCAUUGGUCCUCCUAAAAAACCUGUUCCAACCAAAGAGGACAUGAAAGGUAUCUUUUUGGACAUCAUGCGACGAGAAGAGAGACUGUAGCUGGGUUUUCUUUCCUCAGUAAUGCCUCUUUCCCUGGAAGAUGUGUCCACUUCAUUUUCUGUGGACCAUGAAGAGGAUUUUGGGAUUCCAACUCUUGAAGAUCUUGGACUGGAUACAUCAUCCUUAGGACCAGAUCUGUUCCCGGUGGGUGAACAAGCUCUGCACAGACUGGACGAGCACAUGCAGAGAAUGGUGUGGGUGUGCAAGCUUAAAACAAACAAACAUUCCUCAACUCCAUGAGCCCCAGCACCACCAUCCUGAGCCCAUACAUCCGAUCCGGCUGCUCAUCUGGAUGCACCUUCUGGUGGUGCAGUGAUCAACAUACUUUCAGCUCAUUAAAAUUGGCAGCUUGGUUUUUGGACUGACAAGUCGAGAACUCUUGAGGAUGUAGAUAUUAGUGGGCCCGGUCCUGACUCUAACUUCUGCAUACAUGUGAUUUUAAUAAUUAAAAAUAAUGACAGUGAUCAAUUUAAUCCCAGUCACUCUUUUAUUCACCCAUUUAAAGACAAAUCAAACAGUUAUCUGGCCUGCUGAUUGCAGAAAUGAUUUAUGAACAUUAUUCUCACCUUUUCAGGUGAUUUGACACCUUCUGCCCCCAGUAAACAUCACAUUUGACAAUCAAAUUUAAAAAACAAACCAAGAAAAAAAAAAAAAGGUAAGAAAAAGAAAAUCUCUUUCA